rnacentral:rRNA from 1 species
UACGUAGGGGGUAAGCGUUGUCCGGAAUCAUUGGGCGUAAAGAGCGUGUAGGCGGCCUGGUAAGUCCGCUGUGAAAGUCCAGGGCUCAACCCUGGAAUGCCGGUGGAAACUGUCAGGCUCGAGUCCGGAAGAGGCGAGUGGAAUUCCUGGUGUAGCGGUGAAAUGCGCAGAUAUCAGGAGGAACACCAAUGGCGAAGGCAGCUCGCUGGGACGGUACUGACGCUGAGACGCGAAAGCGUGGGGAGCAAACAGG